AUUGAACGCUAGCGGCAGGCCUAACACAUGCAAGUCGAGCGGUAGCACAGAGAGCUUGCUCUCGGGUGACGAGCGGCGGACGGGUGAGUAAUGUCUGGGAAACUGCCUGAUGGAGGGGGAUAACUACUGGAAACGGUAGCUAAUACCGCAUAACGUCGCAAGACCAAAGUGGGGGACCUUCGGGCCUCAUGCCAUCAGAUGUGCCCAGAUGGGAUUAGCUAGUAGGUGGGGUAACGGCUCACCUAGGCGACGAUCCCUAGCUGGUCUGAGAGGAGGACCAGCCAAACGGGAACUGAGACACGGUCCAGACUCCUACGGGAGGCAGCAGUGGGGAAUAUUGCACAAUGGGCGCAAGCCUGAUGCAGCCAUGCCGCGUGUGUGAAGAAGGCCUUCGGGUUGUAAAGCACUUUCAGCGGGGAGGAAGGCGGUGAGGUUAAUAACCUCAUCGAUUGACGUUACCCGCAGAAGAAGCACCGGCUAACUCCGUGCCAGCAGCCGCCGUAAUAC
rnacentral:rRNA from 1 species